rnacentral:rRNA from 1 species
UACGGAGGAUGCGAGCGUUAUCCGGAUUUAUUGGGUUUAAAGGGUGCGUAGGCGGAAUAUCAAGUCAGCGGUAAAAAUUCGGGGCUCAACCCCGUCGUGCCGUUGAAACUGAUGUUCUUGAGUGGGCGAGAAGUAUGCGGAAUGCGUGGUGUAGCGGUGAAAUGCAUAGAUAUCACGCAGAACUCCGAUUGCGAAGGCAGCAUACCGGCGCCCAACUGACGCUGAAGCACGAAAGCGUAGGUAUCGAACAGG